AUUGAACGCUGGCGGCAGGCCUAACACAUGCAAGUCGAACGGUAACAGGAAGCAGCUUGCUGCUUCGCUGACGAGUGGCGGACGGGUGAGUAAUGUCUGGGAAGCUGCCUGAUGGAGGGGGAUAACUACUGGAAACGGUAGCUAAUACCGCAUAAUGUCGCAAGACCAAAGAGGGGGACCUUCGGGCCUCUUGCCAUCGGAUGUGCCCAGAUGGGAUUAGCUUGUUGGUGGGGUAACGGCUCACCAAGGCGACGAUCCCUAGCUGGUCUGAGAGGAUGACCGGCCACACUGGGACUGAGACACGGUCCAGACUCCUACGGGAGGCAGCAGUGGGGAAUAUUGCACAAAGGGCGCAAGCCUGAUGCAGCCAUGCCGCGUGUAUGAAGAAGGCCUUCGGGUUGUAAAGUACUUUCAGCGGGGAGGAAGGGAGUAAAGUUAAUACCUUUGCUCAUUGACGUUACCCGCAGAAGAAGCACCGGCUAACUCCGUG
rnacentral:rRNA from 1 species